GAAUUGUCAAAUGUACACUUUCUAUUCACAUAUUCACACUUUCGCAUAAAUUUAGACUUUCAUCUUAUAUAUUCAGACUUUCAUUCCAUAUAUUCAGACUUUCAUUCCAUAUAUUCAGACUUUCAUUUGAUAUAUUCAGACUUUCAUUCCAUAUAUUCAGACUUUCAUUCCAUAUAUUCAGACUUUCAUUUUAUAUAUUCAGACUUUCAUUCCAUAUAUUCAGACUUUCAUUUUAUAUAUUCAGACUUUCAUUUUAUAUAUUCAGGCUUUCAUUUUAUAUAUUCAGACUUUCAUUCCAUAUAUUCAGACUUUCAUUUUAUAUAUUCAGGCUUUCAUUUUAUAUAUUCAGACUUUCAUUUUAUAUAUUCAGACUUUCAUUCCAUAUAUUCAGACUUUCAUUCCAUAUAUUCAGACUUUCAUUCCAUAUAUUCAGGCUUUCAUUUUAUAUAUUCAGACUUUCAUUCCAUAUAUUCAGACUUUCAUUUUAUAUAUUCAGGCUUUCAUUUUAUAUAUUCAGGCUUUCAUUUUAUAUAUUCAGACUUUCAUUCUAUAUAUUCAGACUUUCAUUCUAUAUAUUCAGACUUUCAUUUUAUAUAUUCAGGCUUUCAUUCUAUAUAUUCAGGCUUUCAUUCCAUAUAUUCAGACUUUCAUUCCAUAUAUUCAGACUUUCAUUCCAUAUAUUCAGACUUUCAUUUUAUAUAUUCAGACUUUCAUUUUAUAUAUUCAGGCUUUCAUUUUAUAUAUUCAGACUUUCAUUCCAUAUAUUCAGACUUUCAUUUUAUAUAUUCAGGCUUUCAUUUUAUAUAUUCAGACUUUCAUUCCAUAUAUUCAGACUUUCAUUUUAUAUAUUCAGGCUUUCAUUUUAUAUAUUCAGACUUUCAUUCCAUAUAUUCAGACUUUCAUUUUAUAUAUUCAGACUUUAAUUCCAUAUAUUCAGACUUUCAUUCCAUAUAUUCAGACUUUCAUUCCGUAUAUUCAGACUUUAAUUCCAUAUAUUCAGACUUUCAUUUUAUAUAUUCAGACUUUCAUUCCAUAUAUUCAGACUUUCAUUUUAUAUAUUCAGACUUUCAUUUUAUAUAUUCAGGCUUUCAUUUUAUAUAUUCAGACUUUCAUUCCAUAUAUUCAGACUUUCAUUCCAUAUAUUCAAACUUUCAUUUUAUAUAUUCAGACUUUCAUUUUAUAUAUUGA
rnacentral:lncRNA from 1 species